UCUCCGUUGGUGAACCAGCGGAGGGAUCAUUACAGAGUUGCAAAACUUCCAAACCUUUGUGAACGUUACCUAUCCCGUUGCUUCGGCGGGCGGCCCGGGCCCCGCGCCCGGCGCCCCCCGGCCCCCCGUGGGCGCCCGCCGGAGGUAAACCAAACCCUUGAAUUGCAUGGCCUCUCUGAGUCUUCUGUACUGAAUAAGUCAAAACUUUCAACAACGGAUCUCUUGGUUCUG
rnacentral:misc_RNA from 1 species